rnacentral:rRNA from 1 species
UGGGGAAUAUUGCACAAUGGGCGAAAGCCUGAUGCAGCAACGCCGCGUGAGUGAUGAAGGUCUUCGGAUUGUAAAGCUCUGUCUUUUGGGACGAUAAUGACGGUACCAAAGGAGGAAGCCACGGCUAACUACGUGCCAGCAGCCGCGGUAAUACGUAGGUGGCGAGCGUUGUCCGGAUUUACUGGGCGUAAAGGGUGCGUAGGCGGAUGUUUAAGUGAGAUGUGAAAUACCCGGGCUUAA